GAAUGUCCACCCAUUAAUACGAGGACAAGGACAAGCUCUCUUUUAAAGUAUAUAAAAUAGAGAAAACGAAUUCAAAGUCAAACAAACAGGACUUUCAGCUGAAGCAGACUUCUUGACAUUUGAAAAAUCCACUGACAGAAAAAGCUUUUAACACUGUUCCAAAUGGUUUUCCGCAGGCAGUGUUGGCAACGCUGAAAAUGUUGUGGGUGUACGAGCCACUGGAGUAGUAUUGGGGGGCCUUGAGGAAAAAUCGAUAUUGCCACAGCUGUUCGUGUACAACAAGUGAAACGCUGAGAGUAGCCGGAAAAAAAGUUGUAAAACAGAAUAUCAAAGGAACAAAUAACUUUUAAACAAAAAAAAAGGGGCAACAAUUGAAUAAACCAUAAUCAAGAAAAAGCAUAAACAAUUAUUGGAGAAGAGAGUGGUGAUUUUUUUUUGUAAAGUUACCGAUUUUGAUUAUGUGGCAUAUGGUUGUCCUGGGAUUUUUGUGGCAAUAGGGAAAUACUGUACCGAAUAUCCUUUAGAAAUAUGCCCAGCUCAAGGCGUGCCAUUUUGGGGCACAUCAUGUCCGGACUAUGCACAAAGAUGAAUCGCACCAAGCCCGUGCCCGCUGAUGUCAUGGAGACGCCCUUGAAGCGAUGCCUGACCACCUUCGAUAUCGCACUAUUGGGAAUUGGACAUAUGGUGGGUGCGGGCAUCUAUGUCCUGACCGGAACUGUGGCCAAGGAAAUGGCUGGACCUGGCAUCAUUUUGUCGUUUGUGCUCGCCGGAUUCGUCUCCAUGUUGGCGGCGCUAUGCUACGCGGAGUUUGGCACUCGCGUGCCCAAGGCCGGAUCGGCAUAUGUCUACACCUAUAUAUCGAUCGGUGAGUUUUGGGCAUUUGUCAUUGGCUGGAAUAUACUGCUGGAGCAUAUGUUGGGCGCCGCAUCGGUGGCGCGCGCCUGGAGCGGCUAUGUCGACUCAAUGUUGGGCGGCUGGAUAGCCAACACGACGCUGGCGGUGAUGGGCGGCAUACAUGAGCCUGGCCUGGCCCAGUAUCCGGAUGUGCUGGCCUUUCUCGUGUGCAUUGUCUAUGCGGCGGCAUUGGGCAGCGGCGUCAAGGCGACCGCCGUCUUCAACAGCAUUCUGACCCUGGUCAACAUUGGCGUCAUGAUGGUGGUCAUCGGCGUCGGCUUCUGGUAUGCGGACACCGACAACUGGUCCGAGGCCCAGGGCGGAUUUCUGCCGUUUGGCUUUGGCGGCGUGAUUGCCGGCGCUGCGACCUGUUUCUAUGCAUUCGUUGGCUUCGAUUCGAUAGCCACGGCGGGCGAAGAGGCCAAAAACCCGGCCGUAUCCAUACCCAUUGCCACCGUCCUGUCCCUGUGCGUUGUCACGCUCGGCUAUAUACUGGUGAGCGCCGCACUGACGCUCAUGAUACCCAUCAGUGACAUUAAUCCGGCUGCCUCGCUGCCGGAGGCCUUUGGGCAGCUGCAUCUGCCCUGGGCCAAGUACAUCAUCUCGAUCGGCGCCCUCUGCGGCAUGACCACCACGCUGCUGGGCUCCCUCUAUGCUCUGCCCCGCUGCAUGUACGCCAUGGCAUCGGACGGUUUGCUCUUUAGCUGCUUCGGUCGCAUUAACGCGAGCACCCAAGUGCCGCUGUUGAAUCUGAUCGUCUCCGGGCUGCUGAGCGCUGCCCUGGCAUUGGUGUUCGACCUGGCCAAGCUGGUGGAAUUCAUGUCAAUUGGCACUCUGCUGGCCUAUACCAUUGUCUCCGCCAGCGUCAUAAUUCUGCGCUAUCGACCACUCCCACAUGUGGGUACUCCGAAUCCAGUUUAUGCGCCCGAUACGCCCGAUGACGAGAACGACGAGGACGCCGAUUCACAGUCUAGCAUUGGCACAGCUUCGCCCACAAGCGAUCUCAUCGAGGGCGCCCUUGCGGGUCGCCUUAAGCCACAGUUCCGCUGGCUGGAUCCGCUGCUGGGUCGCUUUGCGCCCGGUUCUGUGGUAUCCGGCGCGGUGUUGCUGUUCGUUGUGCUGAGCUUUGCCAUCUGUCUGGAGCUGAAGGUGUCCUGGGCGCAGCUGUACACAGGCACCUGGUGGGCAUUGCUGGUAUAUGGUUUCAUCAUCUUUGCUGCCAGCACCUGUGUCGCCAUCAUGGCGGUGCAUAAUCAGAAUACGCGAGGCCUGAACUUCAAGGUGCCACUGGUGCCGUUCGUGCCAGCGCUGGGCAUCUUCAGCAACAUAAUGCUGAUGGUGCACCUGGACGCGUUGACCUGGGUGCGUUUCUUUGUCUGGGUAUCGAUUGGCAUGGUCGUCUAUUUCCUGUAUGGCAUGGGCCAUAGCAAAGAGGGCGAAGCCUGUUCCUCGUACUCCAUUCUGAUGACCUCAUCGGAGGCAGGUAAGCUGAACUGGGGAUCCUUCAAGGGUUCGAAGAAUCCCGCAAAGCAUACCGUGCUGGAACGUUUCCUGGGACGCCGGAAACCGAACGAUAAGAAACCCAUUGUUGAUGACGAAACCGACGAAAAUGCGGAUAGUCCAAAUUAAACCAAUUGCUGGGGACAUUAUUAUAUCAUCUGUAUUUAGCAAAGCACAACGGUCUGUGACGAAACAUCCUUGGCUAUUAUUCAAUUGACAUCGAUCAAAGUAUUGAAAUAUAAUUACAAAUAUUUAUCGCUCGUUGAAACUAAUAUAGUAUCCCCUAG
rnacentral:misc_RNA from 1 species